rnacentral:pre_miRNA from 1 species
CUUGGCACUGGCGGAAUGAUCACGUGAAACUCCAUAGUGAUUUUUCCCUGGUGCCAACCG